GUGUUUUGACUUUGGGACUUGGGUUACAUAAUGACGAUAAUGACAUUGUUUUCUUGGUCUGUCGGUUGGGGGAAAAUCAAUUCUUAAUUGUUGAACACUCAUGUCACUCAUGUCCCAUGAACUUUUGCUUCUAUGUUGAAGUAGCCUGUUCAAAGAUUUUUAACUAAUAGGCUUCUAACUACCUUCAUAGUUGGAUCUGUAGGAGGGAUGCAUGUUAAAUUCCUGCUGAGAGCCUGAGAGUGAGGGUGUAGUACAAAAAAAUCAUUUGCAUGAGAGGCUUCUAAAAAAUUUAUUCAACAACUAUGAGUGGUUAGGGUACACGAGGAUGCUUGAAUGUUGAACUUAUUUGUUUUUGCGAUUACUAUUCCUCUGUUGUUUCUAAUUCAAGCCACUCUUUACCCCAAAUUCAUAUUAAUUGAGGAAAUUAUCGUCUAUAAUCAAAACUAUGCAAUUAAUUAGUAUCCAAUGUCACCCAGUUUGAGGGUAACAUUGUUUGUAUGCAUCGACAAUUUGACAUCCGGAAUCAUUGGCGUCGUUUCCGUAAAAGACUUUCACGCCUUUAAAAUGGUAGCCUAUUCAUGAUGCUAUGCAGCUGUACUACUCUUAAGCUAAUCAAACUGCCUUGUAAGUAAAUUUUUUGUAUUAUGGAAAUUUGAUUUACAAGUUCCAUCGAGGGAUUUCUGAAAGUUUAAGAGGUAAUGUUUCGAAAUCCGGUGUCUUCAGCGUCGACACGGACGCACUAUAUUUUUAAAAGCGAUGUAUACUAUUCUAUAACUAAAUAGAUACUAUAACCUAAA